AUUCAGGGGGAGAGGCUGGACCGUGUGGGCUGCUUCUCCUCACCUUCGGUGGGAGAAGCUAGAUUGCUGGUGCUGCUUCCCCUCACCUCACACCAUCUGGGCAGACUUAUGGUGGCGUUGCUUCCCAGUGGGGGACGUUAUGAUAGUCCUGUUAGGUGGGGCUUAUCUUCGUGUUCCCAGUGGGGAACGUUCUGGGGACAGGCUAGGUUUGAACAGCGCUUCCUUUUGGUGUGUGUUCUGCCAUUUCGUUCACGUUUGUGUUAAGGUUCGGGUGUGUUGUGUUGGGCUAGUUAGGCCAUGUGUUUGUGUUCACACUUAGUUUAAUGGAACUGCUGCCUUUUGUUAUCAAGUUAUCAUGCCAAGUUAAGGGCACCCUUUUGUUUGUUAAAUUUGAUAUGGUUUACUUGGCGGGUUUUGUGUAUGGUUUCUGAUUUAACUUUUGUUUGUUUCUUUCAGCAGUUCCGUUAAUCCCAACACUUGGAUUUAGGUUAACUUCCUGUUUUUCCCCUUUUUUAUUUUAUUCUCACCACAAUAAAAUGAUUUGUUCCAACUUUACAACUGUCCGCGACUUUGUGUUACGUCCCACUCAUACCCCUAUAACGGGACGUAACAGAUGGCCUGUGAGCAGGUUGGCCUGAGUGCGGCUGGAAACAGUGAGGCGGGGACCGCAGAAUCCAAUCCAAAAGUUUUUAUUUACCAGUCACCGGUUUAACAUAAAAACUUACACCUUCUGUUGCAGGGUAGUCCAGUCACCACCAGCAGCCGCCUCCAAAUGAGCAAAUCAACCUCAUUUAUCCCAUGCUGCUGAUUGGGCUGUACCAUUCCCCCCAACAGGUGUAUCCUCAAUUAUAACAGACAUUUCUCUAUUAAAAUUACUUCUAUAAAAUCUAAAAGUAUUUGCACACUAAAUACAUAACGCUACAAUCAUAAAGUAAACCCAUAAACCAAUAUACAAAUAAAUUCCAUAACCCUCCUGCUCCAUGGUCUCUCCCAAGCCAUACAAAGGUAUCCAGGCCACCUGAAACCAAUUUGCCCUGUCACCCUGGAGACGCCAUGCGCUAGGGAUUAGUUUGGCAUACCUUUUCUCAAUCCAACGUCCGAUGACACCACCAGUCUUAAGCAACAUCUCUUGAGAGAGGUUAAAGGAGAGGAGGAGGAGGAACCACAUCCACCAACCUGUGCCAUAAUCUGUGUCCUGGAGCUGCCCACCAGAAGCAGUCGAAUGGAAUGGACAGAAACUCCUGUCUCAGUGAGGUGUCGUCGACCCGUUGCUAGGUAUGACAUGCCAGGCAAGGACAUCCUACACAGAGGAUGAGAUCCUGUGGGGCCACCGGUUUGAGUCAUGCAUUUCCUUGGAUUUAGGGGUGUUUCGAGUGGACUACAGUUUGACAAAACCUUUGAAG